AGCAUUAGUAUAAAUUUGAAAAAUCACCAAAAAUGGUGUAAAUUGAAUUAAAGACUGGGUGAGAUAUGAAAUUAAAGCUUAAUGAGUCUAUUUUUUCAUAAAAGAAAUAGAGUAAGCAAAAGAAGUGUGAAUUAUGAGAUAUUUGAAUUUUAGUGAGAUAGGGUCAGAAUGAGUUUCGGAAUCUCUUGUUCCAACUUUGAAAAAUCAUUAAAAAUUAUAAAAAAAUAAUUAUG
rnacentral:lncRNA from 1 species